rnacentral:rRNA from 1 species
CCGGGGAUGGACGGACAAUGCCGCUUUAUCCGGAAUGAUUGGGCAUAAAGGGUCCGCAGGUGGUAUUGUUUGUCUGCUGUUAAAGAGUUUGGCUCAACCAAAUCAAAGCAGUGGAAACUACAAAGCUAGAGUAUGGUCGGGGCAGAGGGAAUUCCUGGUGUAGCGGUGAAAUGCGUAAAUAUCAGGAAAAACACCGGUGGCGAAGGCGCUCUGCUAGGCCAAAACUGACACUGAGGGACGAAAGCUAGGGGAGCGAAUGGGAUUAGAUACCCCAGUAGUCCUAGCCGUAAACGAUGGAUACUAGGCGUAGCUCGUAUCGACCCGAGCUGUGCCGAAACUAACGCGUUAAAUAUCCCGCCUGGGGAGUACGCAGGCAACUGUGAAACUC